UUUUUGAAUAUAAUUUAAAAUAGGGCCUGCCCACUGAAUUUUGAAGGGCCGCAGUAUUUUGACUGUGCAAAGGUAGCAUAAUCAUUAGUUUUUUAAUUGAAAGCUGGAAUGAAUGGUUUAAUGAAAAAAUAACUGUCUCAAUUUAAAAUUAAAAUUUUAUUUUUAAGUAAAAAAGCUUAAAUGAAUUUAGAAGACGAGAAGACCCUAUAGAAUUUAAUUAUUUUUUUAUUUUAAUAUAGAAGAAUUUAAUAUUUAAUAUUAAAAAUUAAUUUAGUUGGGGUGAUUGAAAAAUUUAAAAAACUUUUUUUAAAAGAAUACAAAUUUAUUUGAAUAAAUGAUCCAUAUAAAUGAUUAAAAGAAUAAAUUACCUUAGGGAUAACAGCGUAAUUUUUUUAGAGAGUUCAAAUCGAAAAAAAAGAUUGCGACCUCGAUGUUGGAUUAAAAUUAAUAUUUGGUGUAGAAGCUAAAUUAUUGGGUCUGUUCGACCUUUAAAAUUUUACA
rnacentral:rRNA from 1 species